rnacentral:rRNA from 1 species
GUGGGGAAUAUUGGGCAAUGGGCGCAAGCCUGACCCAGCAACGCCGCGUGAAGGAAGAAGGCUUUCGGGUUGUAAACUUCUUUUACCAGGGACGAAACAAAUGACGGUACCUGGUGAAUAAGCCACGGCUAACUACGUGCCAGCAGCCGCGGUAAUACGUAGGUGGCGAGCGUUAUCCGGAUUUAUUGGGUGUAAAGGGCGUGUAGGCGGGACAGCAAGUCAGAUGUGAAAACCAGAGGCCCAACCUCUGGCCUGCAUUUGAAACUGUUGUUCUUGAGUGUCGGAGAGGUAAUCGGAAUUCCGUGUGUAGCGGUGAAAUGCGUAGAUAUACGGAGGAACACCAGUGGCGAAGGCGGAUUACUGGACGAUAACUGACGCUGAGGCGCGAAAGCGUGGGGAGCAAACAGGAUUAGAAACCCCAGUAGUCC